rnacentral:rRNA from 1 species
AUUUGAAAGCUGGCGUCUUCGACGUCCGCGUUGUAAUUUGUAGAGGAUGCUUCGGCGAAGACUCCUGCCUAAGUCCCCUGGAACGGGGCGUCAUAGAGGGUGAGAAUCCCGUAUGUGGCGGGCAGUCUAAGCCAUGUGAAGCUCCUUCGACGAGUCGAGUUGUUUGGGAAUGCAGCUCUAAAUGGGAGGUAAAUUUCUUCUAAAGCUAAAUAUUGGCCAGAGACCGAUAGCGCACAAGUAGAGUGAUCGAAAGAUGAAAAGCACUUUGGAAAGAGAGUUAAAAAGUACGUGAAAUUGUUGAAAGGGAAGCGCUUGCAACCAGACUCGCUCGUAGUUGCUCAGCCGGCCUCUUGGCCGGUGUACUCUUCUACGAUCGGGCCAGCAUCAGUUCGGGCGGCAGGAUAAAGGUGUCGGGAAUGUAGCACCCUUCGGGGUGUGUUAUAGCCCGGCGCGGAAUGCUGCCAGCCU